GAUGAACGCUGGCGGCGUGCCUAAUACAUGCAAGUCGAGCGAACAGACGAGGAGCUUGCUCCUCUGACGUUAGCGGCGGACGGGUGAGUAACACGUGGAUAACCUACCUAUAAGACUGGGAUAACUUCGGGAAACCGGAGCUAAUACCGGAUAAUAUAUUGAACCGCAUGGUUCAAUAGUGAAAGACGGUUUUGCUGUCACUUAUAGAUGGAUCCGCGCCGCAUUAGCUAGUUGGUAAGGUAACGGCUUACCAAGGCGACGAUGCGUAGCCGACCUGAGAGGGUGAUCGGCCACACUGGAACUGAGACACGGUCCAGACUCCUACGGGAGGCAGCAGUAGGGAAUCUUCCGCAAAGGGCGAAAGCCUGACGGAGCAACGCCGCGUGAGUGAUGAAGGGCUUCGGAUCGUAAAACUCUGUUAUUAGGGAAGAACAAAUGUGUAAGUAACUAUGCACGUCUUGACGGUACCUAAUCAGAAAGCCACGGCUAACUACGUG
rnacentral:rRNA from 1 species